UACGGAGGGGGCUAGCGUUGUUCGGAAUUACUGGGCGUAAAGCGCACGUAGGCGGACCAGUUAGUUGGGGGUGAAAUCCCGGGGCUCAACCCCGGAACUGCCUCCAAAACUGCUGGUCUGGAGGUCGAGAGAGGUGAGUGGAAUUCCGAGUGUAGAGGUGAAAUUCGUAGAUAUUCGGAGGAACACCAGUGGCGAAGGCGGCUCACUGGACUGGUAUUGACGCUGAGGUGCGAAAGCGUGGGGGAGCAAACAGG
rnacentral:rRNA from 1 species